AGAGUUUGAUCAUGGCUCAGGACGAACGCUGGCGGCGUGCCUAAUACAUGCAAGUCGAACGAGAAUUGCUUACACCGAGUGCUUGCACUCACCGUAAGGAAUUCGAGUGGCGGACGGGUGAGUAACACGUGGGUAACCUGCCUAUCAGAGGGGGAUAACACUUGGAAACAGGUGCUAAUACCGCAUAACAUUGAAAAGCGCAUGCUUUUCAAUUAAAAGGCGCUUCUGGUGUCACUGAUAGAUGGACCCGCGGCGUAUUAGCUAGUUGGUGGGGUAACGGCCUACCGAGGCAAUGAUACGUAGCCGAGUUGAGAGACUGAUCGGCCACAAUGGGACUGAGACACGGCCCAUACCCCUACGGGAGGCAGCAGUAGGGAAUCUUCCACAAUGGGCGCAAGCCUGAUGGAGCAACGCCGCGUGCGUGAAGAAGGUCUUCGGAUCGUAAAGCGCUGUUGUUAGAGAAGAACACGGAUAAGAGUAACUGUUUAUGCGUUGACGGUAUCUAACCAGAAAGUCACGGCUAACUACGUGCCAGCAGCCGCGGUAAUACGUAGGUGGCAAGCGUUGUCCGGAUUUAUUGGGCGUAAAGGGAACGCAGGCUGUUUUUUAAGUCCGAUGUGAAAGCCUUCGGCUUAACCGAAGAAGUGCAUUGGAAACUGGGAGACUUGAGUGCAGAAGAGGAGAGUGGAACUCCAUGUGUAGCGGUGAAAUGCGUAGAUAUAUGGAAGAACACCAGUGGCGAAAGCGGCUCUCUGGUCUGUAACUGACGCUGAGGUUCGAAAGCAUGGGUAGCGAACAGGAUUAGAUACCCUGGUAGUCC
rnacentral:rRNA from 1 species